UACAGAGGGUGCAAGCGUUAAUCGGAAUUACUGGGCGUAAAGCGUGCGUAGUCGGUUAUCUAAGUCAGGGGUGAAAUCCUGGAGCUCAACUCCAGAACUGCCUUUGAUACUGGAGAGCUUGAGUCCGGAAGAGGUGAGUGGAACUCCGAGUGUAGAGGUGAAAUUCGUAGAUAUUCGGAAGAACACCAGUGGCGAAGGCGGCUCACUGGUCCGGUACUGACGCUGAGGUGCGAAAGCGUGGGGGAGCAAACAGG
rnacentral:rRNA from 1 species